ACUUUCUGAGCCAGCAGGGAAGGCUUGAAGUUCGAUUUCACAACGACCUUGACUUCCAUCUUUGAACGCCCAACCUCUCUCACAAGCGGAAUGACACGGAAUGGUAGACUAAUGUCUUUAGUGGUUCUGUAUCUGUAGACAAAAAGAUUUUCUGAAAUGUCAUGGGUGCAAAGGUUUUGUUCGCAAACUUCAUAGCAGGGCAGAUCACUCCUUUUCUGGUUGCAAUGCAGAUUGUUCCACCAGACUCUGCAAGCCCAUGUUUACAGACAAGCAAGAUCGCCUUUGUAGUAGUACAUAAAUGCAUGUGCUUUAAUUUAAAUUUUGAUAUAUAGACCAGCCAAUGUUUAUAUGGUGUAAAAGGAUGCAAGUUUAAGUAUUAUUUGAUAAUAUGUAUGUGACUUGUUGUUGGAGAGAAUUUUUUGCUGAAUAGAUGAUUUUAAUAAAAUAUUUAUGUAUAUCUUUCAAAGUGUUUUUUUUUUUAUAUAGUUUUGUUAAAGUUAAUGGUCAAACACACUUGAUGUUGUGUUAAUAUAUGAUACUUGUACAAUGAUUAGAUUGAUAUUUUAUUUGAAAAGACAAAUAUUUAUUUUCAUUGUAAAAUAUCGUGAAUUUUGAGCUUUGAAAAAAGGUUGUCGAGCGCAAAAUCCCCCAUGGGGAUUUUUAAAAGUUGGCAUGUAUGUAAAACAUACAACACAGUCAAGAAAUUUCAUAUUAAUGUUGAUGCAUAAGAGGGAAGGAGGCUGAAAUCCAAUGCACAUUGUAAGUGUUUUUGUUUUCAUUAAAAUAUUUACAGAAGCAUCACAUAUUUUCACACUUUUUCUUCUUUUCACGGGAAACACAGAGAUGUACUCCACGGGUGUUUUUCUCGGUUGUGCAGGAUAUACUUAUUCUCGCUAGAGAGGGAUAAUCGCGUUUUUGCGAGAAUAUCUUGCUAUAGGGGAAGUGUUCCCAACCUGACUAUGUGGGUGGGGCGAAUUGUGUUGGAACAUAUAAAUAUAUGUUAAUCAUAGUAACAUUGAAAUCAGGCAUGAUCCUUCAUAUAUCAUUAAACUCUUAAUAACUUACUCUUAAUAUAUACUUGAAAUGCAAUAUUUUGACAUAAAAUGACAUAUAUUGUAACUGAUAUUUUCAUGUGCUAUCUGACAGUGCAGUGUUCAAUCAAUGCAACGCCCCCAUAUUAACCAAGCGUUCGUUUACAUUCAUAGUACACCAUUUUCACUGCAUAGAACAAGAAAAAUAAAUCCAAAAUAAUUAUGGGUAUUGAUUAUCACAUGUACACUUAAUUAUUUGCGGAAAGUAAACUGUAAUUGCUUAUGAUCUCACCUUUCUAUCAUGAAGUCAGCCCGGUCGAAUGUACUUCCGGUUAGAAU